GCAUUAGCUCCUCAAACAAUUUUUGUACCGGCUUUUUUAGCAUGUUGGCUGCUUGAAAGAAAUUCAAGGCUAAGCUAAACGAAGGCAGCAUAUCGAAGUUCUCACACCCUUCGGGCAAUCCUGAUUCUGCACAUGGAAACCGGAAUUCAACUAAACGGAUAGAGAGCCCUGAUUCUAUGGCACGAUCAAGGAUUGACUUGAACCUGGCUGCAUUAUGAGGAGUUGUAACUAUGGUUACGAUCACGCCUUGCUGUGCCAAUAACCUAGCAAUGUCUAUCAUAGGGGUCAUAUGGCCUUAAGCCAUGAAGGGAAACAGGACAAAGUGAAGCUGCUCGACUUGAGUAGCCAUGGCAACUGUUACUACUAAACUAUAAGCUUCAAUCACUCAACUUUUAACAGAAAUUAAGCGUAGACCAAAAAUGAUAUGGAAAAACCAUGCUUUAACUUGUGUACAUUUUAGUAUAAAAGAAACUCUAGGGUUGCUUUCAUGGUGACGUAAGAGCAUACAUAAGCAUUUUCGAUUAUCUGGGAAAAAUGAAAUUCGGUGGACAAUGUUCAGCACAUGCGUUUGGAAAAAUGUACAUGGCAUUGUUUGACUCUCUUGGCUCUCCAAAAUGGAUCACCAUGGAAAGAAGAUAGAAAUCAAUUAGCAUUCAAAGAACACUUUUUGUUGGUUUUUUUUUUCAAAAAAGAAAAAAAAAACAAAAUCUUAUGCAACUUUUAGGUAUAGGUACAAGAAUACAAGUUAAUUUGUAUCUCAUGGCUAUCCCUUCUCUUUAGAGGACAGUAACACAAACUUUUUUUGUACAUCUUGCAGCUCUGUUCUGAUGUAUGUUGUCAAUUAUUUAUCUGGUAUUUGUAUUCAUCUCUCUUACUAUCCAAUGAACAUGCAUAUGGAAUUGAUGACCAGGAAAAACUGGUAUUUUCCAAAUUAAUCUAAAACAACAUUACAAUGGAGAUAAGUCCUGCUUCUUCAUCUCAGGUGCUAGGCUGCUUCCUAUCAUAUGCUCUUUGCAUGAUAUCCUGAAUUAACUGUGUAAUGUUGAGGUGAGAAGAUCCCCCUGUUUCAACAGCCUUCUUUGCCAUUUCUCCAAGUUUCUUGGCUCUCUUUCUUCUCUCUUCUCCUUCCUCUCCUCCAUCCAUCAACCUCUCUAUAGCCUUUUUAACAUCGUUCUUCUUUACCAACACUCCAACCUUCUCUUCUUCCGCCCACCUCACAGGCUCCUCUACCCCAACCUUCACUCCGAUUUUAAGUAUUUGUGCCGCCAAUUUCUCAUUGACAAACUGGUCUGCAAAUAGCGGCCAAGUUAUCAAUGGCACACCAGCAGAGAUGCCUUCAAUUGUGGAAUUCCAGCCACAAUGAGUUAGGAACCCUCCAAUUGCAGGAUGUGACAAUAUUAGUACUUGUGGAGCCCAACCCCGGAUCACAAGGCCUCUUCCUUUUGUUCUUUCCUCAAAACCAUCCUCUGAAAUCCACUUCUCUACUUCUUUUGAUGUAUCACUUCCUCUUAUAACCCAAAUAAAUGGUCUAUUCGAUGCCUCUAAGCCUAAACCGAGCUCUAUUGAUUGUGAGGGUAUCACAUUAGAUUGGCUUCCGAGACAGGCAUAGAUUACAGAGCCAGGCUUUUGAGAAUCAAGCCAUCUGAGGCAUUUGUGUUCAUCUACCGUGGCCUUGUUACCUCUCUCAGCCUUAUCCAAGGCAUCAUUGUUACAUAGGGAAACUGGACCAAUGCACCAUACUUUGUUUCCUCUUGCCUUCCUGUAUUCUUUGACAUAUUCUGGCUCCAUCUCUUCAAAAGUAUUUAUGACUACGCCAUAGGAUGCUUGCGCGGUGCUCUUCAGUUGCUCGGAAAAAUCUUUCAGGUUUCCAUACAUAACUUCCGGAAUCUGGGCUUUAGUAAAUUCAACUCUGUCAGGCAUGUUAGGCACAACAAAGUACUCUGACUCCGAGGUUAUGCGCUCAUAGAUCUUGGAGACGAGUAAAUUAUGGAGGCAAAGAAGAAGAAAGCAACAACCACCAUUGAACACAAUCCUUGGAAUCUGAAACCGGUUAGCAAUAUCGAGUGUAUAUGACAACACGACAUCAGAUAUGAUACAACUUGGCCGUGGCAUUAGCUCCUCAAACAAUUUUUGUACCGGCUUUUCUAGCAUGUUGGCUGCUUGGAAGAAAUUCAAGGCUAAGCUAAACGAAGGCAGCAUAUCGAAGUUCUCACACCCUUCUGGCAAUCCUGCUUCUGCACAUGGAAACCGAAAUUCAGCUAAACGAAUAGAGAGCCCUGAUUCUAUGGCACGAUCAAGGGUUGACUUGAACCGGGCUGCAUUAUGAGGAGUUGUAACUAUGGUUACG
rnacentral:lncRNA from 1 species